rnacentral:rRNA from 1 species
UACGUAGGGGGCAAGCGUUGUCCGGAAUCAUUGGGCGUAAAGCGCGUGUAGGCGGCCAGGUAAGUCCGUUCUGAAAGCCCGGGGCUCAACCCCGGGAGGCGGAUGGAUACUGCUUGGCUCGAGUCCGGAAGAGGCGAGUGGAAUUCCCGGUGUAGCGGUGAAAUGCGUUGAGAUCGGAAGGAACGCCCGUGGCGAAAGCGAGGUCCUGGACGUCUACUGACGCUGAGACGCGAAAGCUAGGGGAGCAAACGGG